GUGGGGAAUAUUGCGCAAUGGGCGAAAGCCUGACGCAGCGACGCCGCGUGAGGGAUGAAGGUUUUCGGAUCGUAAACCUCUGUCAGAAGGGAAGAAACUACGUUGUGCUAAUCAGCAGCGUACUGACGGUACCUUCAAAGGAAGCACCGGCUAACUCCGUGCCAGCAGCCGCGGUAAUACGGAGGGUGCAAGCGUUAAUCGGAAUUACUGGGCGUAAAGCGCACGUAGGCUGUAGUGUAAGUCAGGGGUGAAAUCCCACGGCUCAACCGUGGAACUGCCUUUGAUACUGCACAACUUGAAUCCGGGAGAGGGUGGCGGAAUUCCAGGUGUAGGAGUGAAAUCCGUAGAUAUCUGGAGGAACAUCAGUGGCGAAGGCGGCCACCUGGACCGGUAUUGACGCUGAGGUGCGAAAGCGUGGGGAGCAGACAGGAUUAGAAACCCCUGUAGUCC
rnacentral:rRNA from 1 species